GGGAGGCAGCAGUGGGGAAUUUUGCGCAAUGGGGGAAACCCUGACGCAGCAACGCCGCGUGGAGGAUGAAGUCCCUUGGGACGUAAACUCCUUUCGACCGGGACGAUGAUGACGGUACCGGGAGAAGAAGCCCCGGCUAACUCCGUGCCAGCAGCCGCGGUAAUACGGGGGGGGCGAGCGUUGUUCGGAAUUAUUGGGCGUAAAGGGCGCGUAGGCGGUGUCGCAAGCCGGUAGUGAAAUCUCCAGGCUCAACUUGGAGUCUGCUGCCGAAACUGCGGUGCUUGAGUAUGGGAGAGGUGAGUGGAAUUCCCGGUGUAGCGGUGAAAUGCGUAGAUAUCGGGAAGAACACCUGUGGCGAAAGCGGCUCACUGGACCAUAACUGACGCUGAGGCGCGAAAGCUAGGGGAGCAAACAGGAUUAGAUACCCCGGUAGU
rnacentral:rRNA from 1 species